CGGUUCCGAAUGGUCGAAUCUUGUAUUUACGUCCACUUUGAGAUACGAGAACUGGAUAACCAUUCCAGAACUCGCAGAUGAACGAUGAUGUGCAAUGAAUAAAUUAUUCAAAUAUUAAUUUAUUUUCCGAGGGGAAAAUGGGCAGUGAUCGAGUACAGAUUUUGUAUUGAUAUGAAGAGAUGAAUUGUGAAUUAAAAUAAAGACUAUCAUCAGUUUAAAUAGAGGUCUUCUUUUCAUUCAUUGUUAUAAGAAUGCAUCAACAUUCAUCCAUUAACUCAGCAGUUGGUAUUCUUGAAAAUUAUAUGAUCUUUGAGUUUUGAAACGCUCCUGAACAGAAGAUUUAUGCUCUUUUUCAGUGUACAGUUAGGAUGUCUUCUGAGAUUCAGUUGAAGAUUGAUCUAUUUGGUGAAGAAGAAAGGUAUCUGUACAAGCAAAUUAUGUGCCAUAAAAACUUGAACCUGAGGAAGUUUAAAAUGUCAACAGUUAGUUAUAGAAAAUCAAAAAAUUGUAUAAGAUACAACUAUUUAAAUAUUUUUCAUGUUUUACAAGUUUGAAAUAAUCAUCAGUCAUUUCACCCAAAAUAUAACUUUUAAGGUUCUGUGUAUAAAAUACUGCAUUUUUUCUGCAGUGAUAUUUAAAAAUGCAUUUAAUAAUGCUUGACUAAAUUAGCCUUAUUUUUUAUGACAUUGACUACUGCUACUCAUUGAUGGUUUCUUACAAGGUACAUUUAUAAAUACACACAAAAGAGAAAUAAAAUGCAUGCAGGAUGUGCAGUAAAAUUUUCUUACCCAGGACAUA